UACGUAGGCAGCGAGCGUUGUUCGGAGUUACUGGGCGUAAAGAGUGCGUAGGCGGUUUUCUAAGUUUGGUGUGAAAUCUCCCGGCUCAACUGGGAGGGUGCGCCGAAGACUGGAAGGCUUGAGUAUGGGAGAGGUAAGCGGAAUUCCUGGUGUAGCGGUGAAAUGCGUAGAUAUCAGGAGGAACACCUGCGGUGUAGACGGCUUACUGGACCAUAACUGACGCUGAGGCACGAAAGCGUGGGUAGCAGACAGG
rnacentral:rRNA from 1 species